GUUGUUAGAGUUCAAGCAGUUCAAGUAUUACUGUAGUUUCAAGUACUUUUUAAAAAUUAAGCUUGUGUUUUUUCAUGCAAUGCGCUUUUUGAUUGACUGCCACCUCCCAGAGUCUAUUACUGUUGUGGAAAAAUGUUCAGAGGUUGUUUAAACUAGUUAAAAUUAGACUGUUUCAAAAGUAACCCAUCUGUUUAUUUGUUUGCUUGUUUGUUUGUUGGCGCAUGUGCAUUUUUUUUAUCUAGGACUUAUGGGAGAUAUGCCCUCAGAAUGUCAUGACCUCGAACUGGAUCUGUAUUCUUUUUCAAAAUCUAAAACUACUUUGUUCUCUUAGAAGUCAGAUGGAAAGAGUUGCAUCCUCUUCUUUCAUUCUUGUUCACUUGUUUAAACAUUCAUCUAGGUCAGGUCAAAAGUCCAUCUGCUACAACUGCAAACAAAUCAAACCUGUAUCUUGAAACACAUUAAUCUGUCCCUGGUCUCAUAGGAGAAACUUUCCUUCACUCUUUCAUGUUGUUUAUAUGUUGAUCUUCAUGUAACCUUUAUGUGAUAUCCCUGAAUUCCCACCAUAAAAGAACGUAAUAGACUGUGGUGAUGUGGAUAUGCCAUAAAGACUUCUUUUUUGUAUUAGAUGCAGUGGACUCUUCAGUGUACCUCAGAAUUUGUCAUGGAUGAAGCUGUUCUACUAGCAGCGUCUACUAACUUUUGAAACUCCUAUCUAAGUCUUCAGCCACUACUGCAUUCCACAUGCAAGACCAAGAAGCAAAUACAUGCAAAACAUCAGGGUGAAGUCAUGGAAGACUAAAAUUUUUCUAUGUUCUCUGGAAAGAGGGAGGCUAAAGAACCCUGAUAAUCUACUCGUUCCUUUGAAUAAAUAUACCUGAAUUACAUGAGAGCUCUCCUGCCUGCUGCUCGACCCAACUAUGAUGAGCCCUUUCCACCUUUUGAACAUUCUCUCUCAUUACAUUUGAUUUAUUAACUUCAAUUCUAAUUAUACUGUAUUAUAGUGUGUUAUUUUGCAUUCCGAUACCAUAUUUAGUAAAUUAGUUUGUUUCUCCUCAGAUCAUUGCCUCUGUUUUUAAUUAUUUAGGGUCUCCUGCUUCCCCUUUCUGGAGGCACAGAUCUACAGAUCCUCCACCCCACUAGUCAUGGAACCAGGAAUCGGCCCAUAAACCAUUGACAAAAGUAACUACUUCAGAGAAGAACUUGAAAUAAAGUGCCAGGUAAGACGUAUCUUUCCAGAGCACCUUCCUCUUGUGAAACUUUUGAUAAAUGUAGGUCCUUGCUUUGACUUUUUUGAACUCACAUAAUUUUGCAUUCUUGUUUAAGAUGUAACGAUUUAAAGAUUAAAAUUCAAAGUGGAAACAACGGUCUUCUCCUUAGAACUUCUUUGAACAUACAGAUGGAAAGAUCUGAAGGUAUUUAUAAAUACUUUUUGCAAGAAAUACCACUUAGGAAUCGAGCUAUAAAAAUUAGAUAUUCUCACACACUUUCUUUGCAGCCAUUAGAAGUAGUUGAUUUACAGGUCCACAGUUAUUUCUAGUUACAAAGCUCCAAAGGAGCUGAAAAGGAAAGAGGAAAACUUGAUAAAUAAUGACAUUUUCAAAAUGGUUUUGUGCAAAGAAUUUAUUCUUUCACAGUAAAGGGCCAUAAAGAGCAUCCUUUAGUACAAUGAAUUAAAUUUUCGUAGUAAUACAAAAAUCACAUUACUGUGUUCCUUUAAAUUACAUUACUAAAUAAAUAUUAGUUAUCCCCUUUGCCAUCCUCCAAUAAACUUGAGGCAUUUACAUCAGAAACGUGAAACUUACUUGAACAAAUGGUAUUUAAAUCAUCUGUAGCUUGAGAAGCUAAUUAGAAAGGAAAGGAGUGCUGUUUUGUGACUGUAUUUACAGACCAUAUUUCCCUUUGCAGUAAACCAAGAAGUCUGUGUGUGCAACAAAAGACUAUUUAACAAGCUGUUGAAUAAAGAGUAAUCAGAAAUUGCUACAUAAAAUAUUUUCAAUAUUUUUGAUACAAACCAUGAGUACAGUGAAGCAAUCUGGAGCAGUCACAAUCUCAGCUCUUAAAAAUCACGUAAUCAGUGCACAAUUUCAUUGGGAACUAUGCCACAAGAUUAUAAGCAGAAACGUAUUGGCUUUGAGGAGCAUAGCUGCACCAGGUGACAUCAACAAAGAAAAUCUGGCUAGAAUCAGAAACCUUGCCCGUGCUAUUACAAAAGUCUACUUAACUAUAAUCACAGUGUAGUAAACUACUGGAACGCUACUCCAGAGAUAUUUGUCAUGUAGACAAAUACAACAAUCUUGUCUAUAUCUGCACCAUUUUAAAAAAGAGUAGCAAAGUUUGCAGUAAGUACGUAUGUACGGUUUGCAUGGAUGUUUGUGCUUAUCACAGUGCAUGUGCAUACACAUUGGGAAGGGAUUUACUGCCCACAGAAAUGCAUAGGAAUGUAUUCUUUUAAACAACAUACAUCUGGAGUGCAAUUUAAAAGCCUAAGAGGGAUUUAUGUAAAGCUUCAGGAAGAAAAUGUUUUUAGAAACCAUUCUGCUCUCAAAAUAAGCGUUAGUUAAAAUCUUAAGUUCAGCCUAAAAAGGAGCAAAUAGACAUACUUAACUAAAUUGCUGCAAUUUCAUAGGAAAAGCAACAGAGCAGAAAACCCAUAAGACAAUAGAGUUAUCUAAAUGAAUAACUUUCAUCAUCAUAUUCAAGCUCAUCUUCUUCAUCAUCCUCCAAAAGUCCAUACCUAAAUUUACGAUAGACUGUGCCAUCCUGACCCAUGUAUACAAUAUCAUCUUCUUCAUCAUCAUCUUCGAUAUCUCGAUCUCUGUAUUCAAUCACUUGGUCUUCCUGAUAGCUUGGGCUCUCAUGAUAAUUGCUCGCAUAGGAAGGAAGGGUUUUGGAGUCAUUUGUCAGCUUCUCAUACCUACCUUUACUGGCAGCGCGUGGUUUUGAUUUUGAUUUUCUCCAGAUGACUACAAUGGCUCCAAUGACAAGGAUAAGUAAAAUACAGAUAAUGACAAAGAAAGUGCUCUUGUUUUUGCUCGCUGGUGGUGACGUGGUUCGUAACACACAGUCAUCUGACAGCAACAAUAAAAUAAAAUAAAUUAAAUUGUGUUUGUACAUGA